rnacentral:rRNA from 1 species
CUUGACAAACUUAUAAGAGGUCCAGCCUGCCCAGUGACUCUGUUCAACGGCCGCGGUAUCCUAACCGUGCGAAGGUAGCGUAAUCACUUGUUCUUUAAAUGAGGACUAGUAUGAAUGGCACCACGAAGGUUAUACUGUCUCCUUUUUCUAAUCAGUGAAACUAAUCUUCCCGUGAAGAAACGGGAAUAAAAAUAUAAGACGAGAAGACCCUAUGGAGCUUUAAACAAAUAUACACCUGCCUCUUUACCAAAAAAUUUCAGAAGACAAGUAAUUACCCGGGCAUUUUGAUAUAGCGUUUUAGGUUGGGGUGACCGCGGAGCAAAAAAUAACCUCCGCAGCGAACGGGAGUAUUCCCUAAACCGAGGGCCACAACCCCAAGUAUUGAUAAAUCAACACCAAUUGACCCA